rnacentral:rRNA from 1 species
AAUAGAUACCCUGGUAGUCCACGCCGUAAACGUUGGGCGCUAGAUGUGGGGACCAUUCCACGGUUUCCGUGUCGCAGCUAACGCAUUAAGCGCCCCGCCUGGGGAGUACGGCCGCAAGGCUAAAACUCAAAGGGAAUUGACGGGGGCCCGCACAAGCGGCGGAGCAUGCGGAUUAAUUCGAUGCAACGCGAAGAACCUUACCAAGGCUUGACAUAUACGAGAACGCUCUAGAAAUAGGGAACUCUUUGGACACUCGUAUACAGGUGGUGCAUGGUUGUCGUCAGCUCGUGUCGUGAGAUGUUGGGUUAAGUCCCGCAACGAGCGCAACCCUCGUUCUAUGUUGCCAGCGGUUCGGCCGGGAACUCAUAGGAGACUGCCGGGGUCAACUCGGAGGAAGGUGGGGAUGACGUCAAAUCAUCAUGCCCCUUAUGUCUUGGGCUUCACGCAUGCUACAAUGGCCGGUACAAAGGGCUGCAAUACCGUAAGGUGGAGCGAAUCCCAAAAAGCCGGUCUCAGUUCGGAUUGAGGUCUGCAACUCGA